GGGGAAUAUUGGACAAUGGGCGAAAGCCUGAUCCAGCAACGCCGCGUGAGGGAUGACGGCCUUCGGGUUGUAAACCUCUUUCAGCAGGGGCGAAGCGAAAGUGACGGUACCUGCAGAAGAAGGACCGGCCAACUACGUGCCAGCAGCCGCAGUAAUACGUAGGGUCCGAGCGUUGUCCGGAAUUAUUGGGCGUAAAGGGCUCGUAGGCGGUUUGUCGCGUCGGGAGUGAAAACUCAGGGCUCAACCCUGAGCGUGCUUCCGAUACGGGCAAACUAGAGGUAUGCAGGGGAGAACGGAAUUCCUGGUGUAGCGGUGGAAUGCGCAGAUAUCAGGAGGAACACCGGUGGCGAAGGCGGUGCUCUGGGCAUUACCUGACGCUGAGGAGCGAAAGCAUGGGGAGCGAAC
rnacentral:rRNA from 1 species